UGAGAACUUGGUUUCAGGACACGAGGAGUGAUUCUGCUUGUGGGACAUCCAAGCAGACUGGACAGAAAGGACAAGAAAUAGCACUCUAGAUGCCGCAGAACUCUCUACAACCAGAGUGGUGGGGGUGGAGUGCUGUGUUUCUAGUUUCAAUUUCCCUGGUGGUACAGUGGUUAAGAAUCCAUGUGCCAAUGCAGGGGGCACGGGUUUGAGCCCUGGCCCGGGAAGAUCCCACACACCGCAGAGCAACUAAGCCCGUGCACCACAACUACCAAGCCUGCGCUCUAGAGGCUGCGAGCCACAACUACUGAAGCCCGUGCGCCUAGAGCCCGUGCUCCAUAACAAGAGAAGGCCCCACAAUGAGAAGCCUGCGCACUGCAACAAAGAGUAGCCCCCACUCACUGCAACUAGAGAAAGCCCGUGCACAGCCAAAGAUAAAUAAAAUAACCUCAAUGAGAUAGGAGAUGGGGCCUUUGGGAAGUAAUUACGUCACGAGUGUGGAGCCCUCAUGAAUGGGAACACAGCGAGAAGGCAGCAGUCUACAACACAGAAGAGGACUCUCACAGAACCUGACCAUGCUGGCACCCUGAUCUUAGACUUCCAGCCUCCAGAACUGUGAGAAAUAAAUGUCUGUUGUUUAUAAGACACCCAGUCUAUGGUAAUUUGUUAACUAGAACUGACUAAGAUACAAUGUAAUUACUUGUUUUUCAUGCUUGUUCUCACUAGGCUGGGAAAUCCUUCAAACAGGGAUUAACUCC